AUGCAGGUGCUAGAAGGUUUUAUUUUUCCCCAAGUUGGAGAUAGUUUCUUGGCAUCUUAGCAGUUGGUUCCUAUUCGAUAACAUGCGUAUUUUUGGAUUGUCAUGUUAGACUGAUUAAUGAAAGAGGAAAUCACAAUCCAUCAUUGCUUAAAACUGGUUAACCCUUUUUCGCAUAUCCUUUUUAUGGAUGCUAAUAGUCUCUUGUCAUGAUAAAAAUUUCUACCGUCGGUUCAAAUAUAACCAAAGUUGUGCUAAAAAAUAAAGGGCAGCUAAAUUUUGUACCCUUCUAGUUUCGGUGAAGUGGCAGUUUGAUCCCUGUCAUUUGAAAUUUACCAAAAAAAGGCUAAAGAUACGAAUUUUGACGCCAUUGGUUCUUCCUUAGUAGUCUAACCAUCAAGUUAAUCUUUGUUUUUUCUGUCGUAACACGCAGUAACCUAUUUUUUUCUUCUUGGUUAUUUUUCUUCGUGAUUCAUUUUUGGACUUUAAAAUUAUAUCUAGAUGACAUGACGUCUAAGCAUACUUAUAUAAUGUUUAGUUUUACAUGUUUCACGUCACGUGUCUUUUUAAAUAAGUUAUGUGACGCAAUCAUCGGAGCUCCCGUUGUUGUUUUUGGUCCUCUCUUUCCAUAUAAGUUUCAAUCAGUAAUAUCGUUACAUAUUUGUGUUAUUGGUGCUACGAAGAUGAAGAGUCAAGAAGGAGCUGCCAUGUUUUGCUAAGACCAAAAACUUGGUGAUGUGCGAGGAUGAAGUUGCACGAAGGUAUAUAAAUGUCUCUUUGAUAGAUUACUUAAGACAUAAACCGCGCUAUUGAAUGUUACCUUUGUAUUUGAAAUUUAUCCAUAGUAAAUACCAGGUUAUAAGUAAUGAGCACCAGUUUUUCCCGAACGUGGGUUUUGCGGGUGAACACCUCUUUUGUGUUCUUCGUUUUGCUUUUGUGACUUGAAAGUUAAAUGUUCAUCCAGCGAUCCCCAUAAGUUCAUGGGAAUUUUUGUACAUUGUUGUAUAUGAGUUGCUCUUUAAAUAUUGCUAGCUCGAGGUGCCCUAGCGUUAAGGUUGCUA